UACGUAGGGGGCUAGCGUUGUCCGGAAUUAUUGGGCGUAAAGAGCGUGUAGGCGGUCCGGUAAGUCGGCUGUGAAAGUCCAGGGCUCAACCCUGGGAUGCCGGUCGAUACUGCCGGACUAGAGUUCGGAAGAGGCGAGUGGAAUUCCAGGUGUAGCGGUGAAAUGCGUAGAUAUCUGGAGGAAUACCGGUGGCGAAGGCGGCAUCCUGGACCGACAUUGACGCUGAUGAGCGAAAGCUAGGGGAGCAAACGGG
rnacentral:rRNA from 1 species